rnacentral:lncRNA from 1 species
GUUUUGGGAAGGUGGUGAUGCCUGACAUCUGGCUGUUUUUCUGAACACAAGACAGUAAAAAAUGUUUGAGUAUCUGCAACGACAACAACAAAACACACUGGCCGAUACAGCCUGGUUUGUUUUUCUUUAUAGCACCUAUCAAAACCCAUCAGAUGGUCUGUCUACCUCCAUCAGAAUGUAAACUCUUUGAAGGGAGAAACAAUGGCAACGUCAACAGCAAUGGUUUAUCACAAGUCUGAACAUUCCUCUGUGGUAAGCAAAUCCAAGAGCCUUAAGGAAUAUGUAAACUCAAAAUCCAAGGCAAAGAGAAGGCAGCAGAAGCCAACAAAUUACGUGCCCAGGAAGAGAGGCAGUAGUAACUGUCAAAUCCUAUCUAAGAUGGAAAGAAGUAGAAGUCGAUUAAAUAUAGCAUCUGAGUCACCCUUCAUGACUAAAAGGGCUUCAAUUCAACCUUCACUACUAUAAGAGCUAUAAUAAUGGUGAAACUGUCUGUAUUCUUGGUACCAAUGAUUAAUUCCUAUGAAGGGAUAGGAACAACAGAACUGAACUGACACUGUAGUUGUUAGUUAAGGUUAAAGCUUAAGGUUAGAAAGAUUAAAAGCUUCCUAUGUAAAGGCAAAAAAAUAAAUAAAUUAAUUAAUUAAAUAAAAUAAAAUAAUUGCACCCCCAUUAUCUGUCAGGUCACAUGAGUACUUUUCACCUCCAGGUUGGGUAUGAGCAAGAAUACCAGCUCCAUUAAAUGUGUGACCUUGAACAUGCUACUAAAUCUCUCUGCAUCUGUAAAAUG